GACGAACGCUGGCGGCGUGCUUAACACAUGCAAGUCGAACGGAAAGGCCCUGCUUUUGUGGGGUGCUCGAGUGGCGAACGGGUGAGUAACACGUGAGUAACCUGCCCUUGACUUUGGGAUAACUUCAGGAAACUGGGGCUAAUACCGGAUAGGAGCUCCUGCUGCAUGGUGGGGGUUGGAAAGUUUCGGCGGUUGGGGAUGGACUCGCGGCUUAUCAGCUUGUUGGUGGGGUAGUGGCUUACCAAGGCUUUGACGGGUAGCCGGCCUGAGAGGGUGACCGGCCACACUAGGACUGAGAUACGGCCCAGACUCCUACGGGAGGCAGCAGUGGGGAAUAUUGCACAAUGGGCGGAAGCCUGAUGCAGCAACGCCGCGUGCGGGAUGACGGCCUUCGGGUUGGAAACCGCUUUCGCCUGUGACGAAGCGUGAGUGACGGUAAUGGGUAAAGAAGCACCGGCUAACUACGUG
rnacentral:rRNA from 1 species